GCGACCAUACCACGUUGGAAACACCGGUUCUCGUCCGAUCACCGAAGUUAAGCAACGUUGGGCCCGGUUAGUACCCCGGCUGGGAAUACCGGGGGUUCCGAGGGUU